AAGUCGUAACAAGGUAUCCGUAGGUGAACCUGCGGAUGGAUCAUUCAAGUGAGGACAUGUUUGUGUCCGCCUGUCUUGUGCAACGUUUAUUGUGGAAUUCUGGCACAUUUUGUGUGUGCCAGAUGCCUUUUUUUCUACUCAUUUUAUUUUAUUACUGUAUUCUAACGACAAUCAAAAAGAACCUUGAAAACUGCCAGCAAUGGAUCCCUCGGUUCUC
rnacentral:misc_RNA from 1 species